AUCUGUAAUUUUGUCAUCUGUGUGCAGUGGAUGCAGGUGCAAGAGACCUGGUUUUGUUUUGUUCCAAGAGAAUAGGAGCUGUUUGAAAGAGGCAGGGUGUGUUGCUGUCACAAGACAGUAAUUUAUAUUAAGUUACAUAUUAAUGCAUUUGUUCCAGCACAAAUCUCUGCAGGGGGCAACUGAUCUAUUGAGUAGUUGGGAGAAACCUCAGGAACUAAGGAGGGAUCCCCGUGGUAUGAUCUGUGAUGAGACCAUCUGAGACGUUCUUAUUCAUGACCCUCUAACGUCUACCGACCAACUCAACAUGACCCUGUCGGUGCUCCGUGAUGAUAUCCAGUAAAGAUGCUGUGGAGUCUGUUGUUCAUCUCUCUGAUUGCUCUCUGCAACACACAACGCUUAACACUGAAUGCGACAACAACAUCACAGUCAUCAACCUACACACAUAAUGUCAUCUUCUCCUCUGAAAGAGCUACUGAUGGGGAUAAGACAGAAUGUUCUAUCACUCGGGAAUUAAAGGACUCCUGGUGGAGAAUUGACCUACUGGUUGUCUGCAACAUUUCUUGUAUCACUAUCUACAACACAGCUGCGGUCAACACUGACAUAAGCGGUGCUCAGAUCCACAUUGGAAGCUCGCGUGAAAACAACGGCAUCACUAACAGCAUAUGUGAAAACAUCACAAACUUUAAACAAAACGAGUGGAAUAACUUCACAUGUAAUACAACCAUGUUGGGGCGCUACAUCACUGUCUUCUAUCCAGGAAAUAAACCGUUAAUUCUGUGUGAAGUGAUGAUCUACGGCACAAUAACAGAUCCACCCUUUGUGCUGAUCAAUGAGAGUAAGACGUGGGAAGAGGCCCUGUACUACUGCAGGGACAAUUACAUGGACCUGGCUUCCAUCGUUGAUGAAGACACCCAGGCCUGGGCUGAGCUGGAGGCCAAGAAGGCCAACACUCCCUUUGUGUGGCUGGGCCUUCACUACACCUGCACCCUGGAGUUCUGGUUCUGGGUCGAUGACCAGCGCCUAGACUUCAAUCGCUGGAAACCAGAGAAGAAAACAGGAGAUUGUGGCAUGAGUGGUGCCAUGGAGACACGAGAGGAACAUCUCUGGUUCAGCACCUCUGACCACGAGACGUUUAAUUUCAUCUGUGCAAAGUAAGAGAAAUCAAUGUUUUGUUUUUCUCAGCUGCUAUAAAAAAAUGUAACGGUGGUGACAUUGUUGUGUUGUGACAACGUCUCUCAUAUGUGUCACAGGUGAUGGGUUCAGGCCCAGAGCAGCAGCUUUCCAGAUAAAAGGGAUGGAAUGAAGCACAGAGCAUUUCCUCACUAAAUGUGACUUACAACAACACAUAUCACUUGCUUUUUUAGUAAUUGCAACAGUUUAUGGAAUUAGUGUCAAUGUAUCCUACAUUUGUAAUUUAUGAUACUUUGAUACAAUGAUUAUAUGAUGAUGUUGUAAGACUUCUGCUUCCAUUGUCUUAUAAUGUAAUCAUUGAUAUGAGAACUGGGAAAACAUUUUUUAUUCUAUUCUUGAAACUGGAUUCUUGGGAUUUAAAUGGCCUGUCAAUAUUAUAUUAAUAAAUUCAGAUUCUGGGAAAAAAAAAACAAAUUCCUAAAUGCUUUUGAUGUCUCAGAAAAUUUACAGAAAUGAAAAAAAUUAAUUUCUAUUCAUAUUAAAUAAGUUUUAUGUGGCCACAUAUGUUUUGUAAACCUACACUUGCAUACUUCAAUAAGUCUCUUUGAAUGAUAUUUACUGUAUAUGUCAUUUCCUCUGAAUGUAUAGGGAAUAUGUGGAAGAACUGCUUAAUGUAUGUAUUAAUAUAUGGGUUGACAUUUUUUGGUGGGGCACGCUAUGAAGAUGCAAAUUUGCCUUUCUUUAUUAUUGUUUUUGGAAUACCAAAUCAAGUCUAAAUAAAAGUUGAUGUGUUUGAACAAUUAAUUCUCUUUAGGGGCGUGUCCAAGUAGCGGCUGGUGAUGCCCCAUUAUCUUAGACUGUGAUUGGAUACCUGAAUGGUCAGAGGCGGGACCUUAGUUUGUAUUCGAGUAUUUU